rnacentral:rRNA from 1 species
UACGUAGGUCCCGAGCGUUGUCCGGAUUUAUUGGGCGUAAAGCGAGCGCAGGUGGUUUAUUAAGUCUGGUGUAAAAGGCAGUGGCUCAACCAUUGUAUGCAUUGGAAACUGGUAGACUUGAGUGCAGGAGAGGAGAGUGGAAUUCCAUGUGUAGCGGUGAAAUGCGUAGAUAUAUGGAAGAACACCGGUGGCGAAAGCGGCUCUCUGGCCUGUAACUGACACUGAGGCUCGAAAGCGUGGGGAGCAAACAGG